rnacentral:lncRNA from 1 species
UAUUCAAUAGACAGAUAAAUUUUUUAAUACUAAUAAGAAAUAAAACAAAGAUCCAAAAUAAUUUUUAUUCAAAAAUAAUUAAGCAAAUAACACCUAAAUCCUUAUGCUUCUCACUAAUCGAUCCCAAGCCCUAUAGCAUCUUUUGAAUUUAAAAUAAAAAAAAAUAAGAAAAAAGAAGUGAGCUUUAUAGGCUCAGUAAGUUACCAAUGCC